CAGCAGCCGCGGGAAUACGUAGGGUGCAAGCGUUAAUCGGAAUUACUGGGCGUAAAGCGUGCGCAGGCGGUUAUGCAAGACAGAUGUGAAAUCCCCGGGCUCAACCUGGGACCUGCAUUUGUGACUGUAUAGCUAGAGUACGGUAGAGGGGGAUGGAAUUCCGCGUGUAGCAGUGAAAUGCGUAGAUAUGCGGAGGAACACCGAUGGCGAAGGCAAUCCCCUGGACCUGUACUGACGCUCAUGCACGAAAGCGUGGAGAGCAAACAGGAUUAGAUACCCCAGUAGUCCCUGUCUCUUAUAC
rnacentral:rRNA from 1 species